GUUGCAUUCCUUUUGAGCUGUUGUUGGAAGGGGCACUUUAGGAAACAGCGAUGAAUGAGCCUUGGCUAAUGCUGAGAAGAGCUGCUGAGCAUCUUUACUGUUGUAUGGUGAGCCACGCUGCUUCCUAACUGUGGCAGUAUGAUUGCAGAGAGAAUUCAGUGCUGGUGGAAGUGACUGGAUUCACAGCUGUGGAAAUGCAGAUGGAGACACCCUGUCUCAUGCAGCAACUGUCUGAAGGACGGCUGCAGGACCAUGCGCUGCCCUUCAUCUGCUCCCAGUCAAGGCCAGGAAACCUGCUCAUGUCACCCUGUGGACCAGUUCCUGUAGGCAUUAUCUGCAGACACUGUCAACAACAGCUUGCAAUUUCAUUCUUGCAACUACAGUGCUGGACAUGUGGGGGUUUAAUGAGAAAUUCAAUCAUCAUCCCAAAACCCAAAUUGUGUUUAAAAUACAUUUCCACCCUGCCCUGCCAUCUUGCUUCUGUUUAGAGCGUAGACAGCUCUAUGCAGAUGGGAAUCAAACUGGCAGACUCCUUGGUGCCCUCUGCAUCCCUCGACCUGAGUCACAGCCUUUGCAGCAGGAAAAAAUGCAGGUCCUUGCCUCAAUUUGCAGAGCAGAUUUUGAGAGCAAACCUGUCAUCACCAAUGCCCUAAGCUGAUAAUGUGUACGGGGAGGUUAAGAUGAGGACAUCUGGUUUGUUCUAUUUCUGGUACAAGAACAAUAUCCACCCGUCAAGGGGGAGGGCAGACUGUUCAGCAUGGUGGCAUCUCUAGCCAGCUAAAUACAACUAGGCUCAUGAGUCAGUUGUCUUUCUAGCAUGGCAUCAGACAAAUAUCUGAACUGUAGCAUACAAAGGGUCCUUUGUUUCUAUUUUAAGAGCUGUGUGAACAGAGCUAGAAUACUGCAGCUAUUUUCCACUACGGUUUAUCCCUCCACACAGAGUCUGCUCUGAUCAGGCAACAAAAUCCCAGGCUUGGAAAAAUCCUUGCCUCAUGAUCAGUAAAUUCUGCUGCGAGCAAAGCAAGGUAAAAACAUGAAGAAAAAAAGAAGAGUUGGUGUGGGCAGAAAUAAAAAGAGAAAGCAAUGCAGAAGAAGACAUCAAAAGUCAUAACUGGAAAGGAAAGAAGAUAUCAAGAAAUACAAUUGCAAAUCAGAGGAGAGACUGGACAAAAACAAAGCAUAGCAAGAUCUGUUAUUAAAGAAAAUGUACAGACCUAUAAAAGCGGUUGGGAGGAAAUGCAGCCUGGCUUCAAAAAAGCUAAUGGUGCUGGUCUUGAGUUGCACCAGGGAGGCUCAGAUCAGCUGGACCUGUCAUGGCCCAGCCUAAAUGGCAGGGUACCUCUGGCCUGGAGAAAAAGAAGCUCCAGGUGAGACUCAGCAUUUUUUUUUGUGAAAGCUCCCCUCUGGGAAGUGGCUCCAGUCCCCCAGUGCCGAUGUCUGAAUGUCUAUGAGCUCCACCAGAAAAGGAACCACCAGCAACAAAGGAGGUCUUUUCCACCUGCAGUCUGCCUGGCUCCAGAGCUUCUCCUCUGCUUCUCACAGAAAUGAGCUUUUUCUUCAUGCCAGGCUAAAAACCUGCAGGUCUCUCUUCCUAACUUCUGAAUUUCACGAAGCAACCUGAGAAAUGUGGAGUCUCUGAUGCUGUUUCCUGAGGCAAAGCAUUUAAUUCUGCAGCACAAUGAUCUUUUGAAGUCUGUUAAAAAAUGGCCCAUUCUGCUCUAAAGGCAGGAAAUAAAACUUAAGGUGUCAAAUCAUAGUACUGUCAUUCACCUAAAGCAGACAGCGCAUUUCAAAAGACUGACAAUAAUGUCCUGCAAACAAUAAUUUUUUUUUCUUCUCAGAAUUUGUCCAUAAUUGACUAAUUUCCAGCAGGGAAAAGAGAUAAUGAGAAGCUGCUCAUGUUUUGGCCCAGGCCAGCAGCAAUGCUGUGGGCUGUAGCUAGCUAGCAAAUUGCACCAGUUCAGUCCCUCUAGGGCUAGGUUUUAAGUGUUAAGCUCUUGCAGCAAUGCCACCACUGGAGUGUGCCUGCGGGACCUUGUUCCAAAUCUUUGCAGCACGUCAUUCGCCCCCAAGAGAGUAUUUCUUGUUUAUGUUUCAGAGAAAAUGUUGCUUUUUUUUUUCUCCCAAUCAAUUCCCUAACAUAAACGUCCUUGGCGGAGAAUUUCUAACAUUGACAACACUGUACAUCUUUACCUCUCCAGGGUAUUGCUUUCUUCUUUGCAAUAAAAUAGGUCUGCUGCAGUGGGAAAAUUCCCAACCUUAACACACAGCACACAGCAGCUCUUCUAUUCUUGGGAAGCAAUAGAGAGAUACACUAGCAACUGUUCCCUGUAUUUAUUUUAUUAUUCACACAAAUGUGAAUCACUAAUCAGCAUCUAUCUUAAAUCACCAUAAACUUCCCGACUAGCUUGCUUUGUCUUUUUCUCCAGGCAGCCAGCCCAGCUGGUUCCCAUAGGUACUAGCAAAAUAAAUCCCUGGGAGAGAGAUCUAACAUUUGAUUCUUGCAAGCAAAAGCUUCUAGUAUUACAGCCCAAUAAAACAUCAGUCAGCGCCUGGCAGUGUUCCUUUCUUCUGCUGCAUCAGCCCAGCCCCUCCCUGAUCUGCAUUCCCUCCAGCAGGCAGAAGUCUAAUUGAAAUAUUGACCAAAAUAAAACCAAUUCCCAUAAAUAUGUACUGUUACCAUGAGCUAUAAUUUUGUUCAUUCAUUAUUACUCACAGUGACAGCCUGAGCCCAGGAUGAGUAAGGGCUGCGAUGGCAGCCUUCAAGGAUGGUCCGUCCCUUUUCACAGGGAUUCUGUACUCGUGCAGCAUUUAAAGAGAGGGCCACAUCAGCUGGGAGAGCUCUGCUGGCAGUAAUGGCACCGCAUUGAUUUUUGCUCAUUGAGCUCCAAGCUCCUUGUGCUGAAAGGGAGAAUGUUGCCAUCUGCAUUGCAUAUCCGGGGGCUUUUUAAGCUCCCUUCAUUAGGUUGUACUUAGAGACAAUGCUCGCUCUUGAUUCAGAAACUAUGCACAAACACCUUAAAUGGAUUCACCAAGCUUCUCCCUGUGGACAACAGAUAGCUCUAAGGGCAGAAACUGGAACAUGACUGGUGUCACAGCCCAUCUCCGUCACACACCUGUCACUGUAUGUGACAGAGAAGAAAACAGGAGCUGGGACAGUACUUUGUGAUAGAAUAAGGUGUUGUAGGUAUUUGUUGUUCAACUCUGAACCAAACAGCUUCAAGAGAAAGGACUGACCGUGUGCUAAAUUGCACACUGCCUGCUUCUGUUCCUCUUGGGUUGCUUUCUGAGCUGGCCCAAAUGUGCUGUCUGAAAAAUGACUGACAGGCAGGCUUGAGGGGAAAGAGAAUAGGAGAUGGAGUAUCCUGCUGCCAUUUGUGACAGCCAGGGAGGGCUGUAACACGCACUGCAGGCUGCAUCAGCUCCAGAUGAGUGGCUACACCUUAGUGGAACAGCAGCAUUUCACCUGUGUUCCUUGAGAAAACGUAUGAAUAUCAAUAAAUGCAGGAAGCAGCAGCCCCUCAGGUUCCUGGCUGAGUUCUGAUAGCAGCGCUGUGUCAGUUUGGAUCUGCUUUUGGCCUUUACCAGAUGGGAGGAACCAAGUGUGUAAGGAUGCCAAAGAAGAGCCAUGUCAUGGAUGUUGGGAGAGGAUGGAGGUCUGACUGCAGUGAAGAGGAGAGGUACUGGAGGACUGUAGCAGGGUAUAUUUUCUUGUCCAACAACACCAGGUAGCCACAGAUUGAGUCAUUCCGCAUGGCAGAGCAUUUAGAAUAUUGGAGAUUAUCGCUCGUGGGAUGCAGGAUGCAGCUCAGGUGGUGUGAGGAAGGAUGCUGAUGUCUGCUGAGAGACUCACAUGUGGUGGGGGCCUCCCAAAAGGCUGAUCUCAUGGCAGAGCAGGUGCUGCAGAAGGCUGUACUAUGGUUUUCUGUGUAUGAUUCCCACCCUCAGCCACUUUAAAGCCAGGCAUAAGUGAGAAGCCCAGCCCAUCUGGCUUUUGUCCUACUUUCCUUUACUUGUAUUUUGACAGUGUUCAUAUUCUGGAUGUUUUCUGCAGUCAUUGUUUAGCUAGAAUGUGCCACUAGUUGUUUUUGCUACAGUCUCAAUGAAGCAAGCUUUGAGGAGUGA